AGCGAACGCUGGCGGCAGGCCUAAUACAUGCAAGUCGAACGCCCCUUCGGGGGAGUGGCGGACGGGUGAGUAACGCGUGGGAACGUGCCCUUUGGUUCGGAACAACACAGGGAAACUUGUGCUAAUACCGAAUGUGCCCUUCGGGGGAAAGAUUUAUCGCCAUUGGAGCGGCCCGCGUUGGAUUAGCUAGUUGGUGGGGUAAAGGCCCACCAAGGCGACGACCCAUAGCUGGUCUGAGAGGAUGAUCAGCCACACUGGGACUGAGACACGGCCCAGACUCCUACGGGAGGCAGCAGUAGGGAAUCUUGCGCAAUGGGCGAAAGCCUGACGCAGCCAUGCCGCGUGAAUGAUGAAGGUCUUAGGAUUGUAAAAUUCUUUCACCGGGGAAGAUAAUGACGGUACCCGGAGAAGAAGCCCCGGCUAACUUCGUGCCAGCCGCCGCGGUAACAC
rnacentral:rRNA from 1 species